UUCACGAAACUGGUCCUCUGAUCAUGUUCAUUGUAGCAAAUCCAAACUAACGCUGAGAAUGCCAAGUGCAGUAUCCAGGAGAGGGACUUUACUAUAGCCGGAUUCCUCACCGAUGACUUUGUGACACCAUUAGCAGCCAUGCUUAGACUUGAGCAAGACUAGAGGCAUGACCUAAGGUUCCCCCCACACGCACGUGCGGGCCUCGCUAAGACCAAGGAAGUACAGUCUUAACAAUACAAAAGGGCAGUAAAAUGUUUAGACGAAUAGUCGACAAACUAACGUGAGAAGGACGUAGAGGCGUUUACUCCGCCACCCGUCAGGGGACCAGUACAGUGUAGGAUAGAGAACAGUCUGUGUGAUGUGCUACCUAGAAGAGGCAGCCAGGACUGUCGACUGACAAUUCAUAUUAUAUAAACUUUCAUAUUCCUGUUGUAGUAUGUG